rnacentral:rRNA from 1 species
GACGAACGCUGGCGGCGUGCCUAAUACAUGCAAGUAGAACGCUGAAGGAGGAGCUUGCUUCUCUGGAUGAGUUGCGAACGGGUGAGUAACGCGUAGGUAACCUGCCUGGUAGCGGGGGAUAACUAUUGGAAACGAUAGCUAGUACCGCAUAAUAGUAGAUGUUGCAUGACAUUUGCUUAAAAGGUGCAAUUGCAUCACUACCAGAUGGACCUGCGUUGUAUUAGCUAGUUGGUGGGGUAACGGCUCACCAAGGCGACGAUACAUAGCCGACCUGAGAGGGUGAUCGGCCACACUGGGACUGAGACACGGCCCAGACUCCUACGGGAGGCAGCAGUAGGGAAUCUUCGGCAAUGGACGGAAGUCUGACCGAGCAACGCCGCGUGAGUGAAGAAGGUUUUCGGAUCGUAAAGCUCUGUUGUAAGAGAAGAACGAGUGUGAGAGUGGAAAGUUCACACUGUGACGGUAUCUUACCAGAAAGGGACGGCUAACUACGUG